rnacentral:rRNA from 1 species
CCUACGGGAGGCAGCAGUGGGGAAUUUUCCGCAAUGGGCGAAAGCCUGACGGAGCAACGCCGCGUGGGGGAUGAAGGCCUCUGGGCUGUAAACCCCUUUUCUCAAGGAAGAAGACCUGACGGUACUUGAGGAAUAAGCCACGGCUAAUUCCGUGCCAGCAGCCGCGGUAAUACGGGAGUGGCAAGCGUUAUCCGGAAUUAUUGGGCGUAAAGCGUCCGCAGGCGGCCUAUUAAGUCUGUCGUUAAAGCGUGGAGCUCAACUCCAUUUAAGCGAUGGAAACUGGAAGGCUAGAGUGUGGUAGGGGCAGAGGGAAUUCCCGGUGUAGCGGUGAAAUGCGUAGAUAUCGGGAAGAACACCAGUGGCGAAGGCGCUCUGCUGGGCCAUAACUGACGCUCAUGGACGAAAGCCAGGGGAGCGAAAGGGAUUAGAUACCCCUGUAGUCCUGGCCGUAAACGAUGAACACUAGGUGUCGGGGGAAUCGACCCCCUCGGUGUCGUAGCUAACGCGUUAAGUGUUCCGCCUGGGGAGUACGCACGCAAGUGUGAACUUAAAGAGUAGUGCGNGNGAGNGUCGACGAGACGACGAGAGGAG